UAACGCGUGGGUAACCUGCCUCAUACAGGGGGAUAACAGUUAGAAAUGACUGCUAAUACCGCAUAAGCGCACAGGACCGCAUGGUCCGGUGUGAAAAACUCUGGUGGUAUGAGAUGGACCCGCGUCUGAUUAGCUGGUUGGUGAGGUAACGGCCCACCAAGGCGACGAUCAGUAGCCGACCUGAGAGGGUGGCCGGCCACAUUGGGACUGAGACACGGCCCAAACUCCUACGGAAGGCAGCAG
rnacentral:rRNA from 1 species